rnacentral:rRNA from 1 species
GACGAACGCUGGCGGCGUGCCUAAUACAUGCAAGUAGGACGCAGUUGCGAACGGGUGAGUAACGAGUAGGUAACUCCUUUUUAGAGGGGGCUAACUAUUGGAAACGAUAGCUAAUACCGCAUACUAGUAGAUGGACCUGCGUUGUAUUAGGUUGUAGGUAGGGGAAUGGCCUACCUAGGCAACGUUACAUAGCCGAGAUGAGAGGGGUAGCGGCAACACUGGGAAUGAGACAAGGGCCAGACGCCUGCGGGAGGCAGGAGUAGGGAAGCAUCGGCAAUGAGGGGAACGCUGACCGGGCAACGGCGCGUGAGGGAGGAAGGUUUUCGGAGCGUAAAGCUCUGUUGUUAAGGAAGCGAUACUUAACCAGAAAGGGACGGCUAACUACGUGCCAGCCGCCGCGGUAAUAC